rnacentral:rRNA from 1 species
GAGUAAAGAUUUCGGUCGCUUUGGGAGGAGCUCGCUUACUAUCAGCUUGUUGGUAGGGUAAUGGCCUACCAAGGCUAUGACGGUUAGGGGGUGUGAGAGCAUGACCCCCAGCAUUGGCACUGAAACACUGGCCAAACACCUACGGGUGGCUGCAGUCGAGAAUCUUCCACAAUGGGGGAAACCCUGAUGGAGCGAUGCUGCGUGCGGGAUGAAGGCCUUCGGGUUGUAAACCGCUUUUGUAGGGGACGAAAUUUUUGACGGUACCCUUUCGAAUAAGAGGUUGCUAACUCUGUGCCAGCAGCAGCGGUAAUACAGAGACCUCAAGCGUUAUCCGGAUUUACUGGGCGUAAAGCGUCUGUAGGGGGUUUAUUAAGUUCCAAGUAAAAUUUCAAGGCUCAACUUUGAAUUCGCUUGGAAAACUAAUAAACUGGAGUCUAGCAGAGGUGCAUGGAACUUGUGGUGUAGGAGUGAAAUCCGUUGAUAUCACAAGGAACACCAAAGGCGAAGGCAUUGCACUGGGCUAGCACUGACCCUGAGAGACGAAAGCGUGGGGAGCAAAACGGAUUAGAUACCCGUGUAGUCCACGCCCUAAACGAUGAAUGCUAAAUGUUCGGGGAUUCGACCCCCUGGGUGUUACAGCUAACGCGUUAAGCAUUCCGCCUGGGAAGUACGGCCGCAAGGCUAAAACUCAAAGGAAUAGACGGGGAUCCGCACAAGCGGUGGAGCGUCUGGUUUAAUUCGACAGUAAGCGUGGUACCCCACCAGGGUUUGACAUCCCUUGACAGCCUUGGAAACAAGGUUUCCUUCGGGCAAGGUGACAGGUGCUGCAUGGUCGUCGUCAGUUCGUGCCGUGAGGUGUUCCGUUAAGUCGGGAAACGAACGAAACCCCUAUUGCAUGUUACAAUUUCUCAUGCAAGACUGCCCGGAUAUACUGGGAGGAAGGUGGGGAUGACGUCAGAUCUGCAUGGUCCUUAUACCCUGGGCGACACAGGCGCUACAAUGGCAGAGACAAAGGGUUGCAAAACCGCAAGGUGAAGCUAAUCCCAAAAACUUUGUCUAAGUUCGGAUUGAAGGCUGCAAUUCGCCUUCAUGAAGCUGGAAUCGCUAGUAAUCGUGAAUCAGCCACGUCACGGUGAAUAUGUUCCCGGAUCUUGUACUCACCGCCCGUCACACCAAGAGAGUUGGUAGCUCCCGAAG